UGCGGCAGCUGGUGUUGUGAAUCAGGCCGCCGUAACGCUGGGCUCGGCUACUUCACAACACCAGGGCCGUG
rnacentral:pre_miRNA from 1 species